rnacentral:piRNA from 1 species
UGAAGAGCUUGGUUGCAGAAACUUCG